rnacentral:rRNA from 1 species
GACUAUGGCCAUGUCACCCUGAAUGCGCCCAAUCUUGUCUGAUCUCAGAAGCUAAGCAGGGUCGGGCCUGGUUAGUACUUGAAUGAGAGACCACCUGAGAAUACCAGGUGCUGUAGGCA